rnacentral:lncRNA from 1 species
AUUAUAGCAAAAUGUAGUGGAACAAAUAGGAAAUAAUGAGUUUCAAGUGUUUACUUUUGCUUUUAAUAACAUUUAAUGCUAGGUUUACGUAAUUUAAUUUUUCAAAAUGACUUGAUUCAUAAACAGCUCACAAAAUUCCUGAAAAUUUAACAAUUGGCUUUUGUGAGCAGGUAUAACCUGGCUCCAGGACACCUCUUGGUCACAUCUUCACUGCUUACCGUGAGCUUCAGGAGGAAGCAGAACCACAAAAGAGCCUUUCUGGGCUUAGGCAUCCUGAUAUCCAUCAUCCUGUCACUCUACCAAUGUAUUGUCGGUGGGAGGAAUGAUACACUUAGACUCCCAGGCUUCUGAGAUUUAACGGAUCAGCCUUUAAGGCUCCCAGGAUUUAAGCAGGAUCUCAAAGAAAAGAAGAAAGAAUAAAAGCCGUGAGUAAAUUUGAUUCAGAGGUUUUCAAAUCAACUAGAAGAUGGAAUUCUUCAGCACGAUUUCUUAUCUCUUUAGCAAACCAACUUAGAGAGGAAAAUCGUAGAAGACCUGAAAUGUCAAUUCAAUUGGGACAUGUGAUAAAGAACUGUAAUGUGGGAGAUUAGCCCUGUGCUAACAUCUGCUGCCGAUCCUCCUCUUUUUUGCUGAAGAAGACUGAUCCUGAGCUAACAUCCAUGCCCAUCUUCCUCUGAUUUAUAUGUGGGAUGCCUGCCACAGCAUGGCUUGACAAGCAAUGACAUGUCUGCACCCAGGAUCCAAACUGGUGAAGCCCAGGCCGCUGACGUGGAACGUGCAAACUUAACCUCUGUGCCACUGGGCUGGCCCCCUGCAAUGAGUACAUUUUCAAGACACAUGUUAAUGAACUCUAAUACUUUGUG